UGCCACGUGGCAAAUUUUUCUUCAUCCUCACCUAAUCCUUCUCUUUUCUGAACCAAACCGUGUCUCUUAAUUUUUGAACCGAACCGCCUCUCUGUUCUCUUUUCUGAACCAAGCCUCUUGAGUUCUGAACCGAUCCGCCUCUCUAUCCUUUCCCUUUUUUUCGUAUAGCAAGGAACGUCUCCUCUCCCCUCUUCUCCGCGUCGUGUAGCAAGGAACCAAGCCUCUUGAAUUCUUUUUGUGCUUUUGUUUGUUAUGAUACUACCUCAGCUGGCUCAGUAAGUAUAAGCAAAAUACAUGUGGCUGCAUAUGAAACUAAUCAACUUAUACUUCGAGAUUAGCGGGUGAAAAUUUUAUAUGAUUCCAAACCAAUUUGUCAAAAAUAGUUUAAUAUUUCGUGAAUAAGUUCUUCCCAUCUGGGUAUCCACACAGGUUUGGUAGCAUAAGCAGAUUUGUAUUUGCUGCUUUUUAGUGAAUGUAGGAGUAUUACUUCUUAUUGAAAAUCAUAAUCUAUUAUGCAAUGUGAAUGAGGUGUACCUGACCUAUACCCAAAUCCGAGCACUCCAACAUUUAUCCAGUGCUGCAUUGUCUGUGCUAUCAACACAAUUAAUUUGGAUUCUUCAGCGUCCAGUCCUACAGCAUGGGAAUUGAGUCCAGUGGAGAGAUCGCUAUCUCAGGCGCCCUCAAGAUCAAUAUCAAGGAAAGCACGUGAUCUUGGCGAGGUUGGAAAUACCAACAAAAUUCAGACGCUUCUAUUUAGUGCUACUCUAUCUAACUGGGAGAAGGUAUGUUUCAAAAACUAAAUUGCAGUUAAUAAGGGAGGUUGCCGACAAAGUUGAUAUGCAUCUUGAGCUUGCUCCUGCCCUUGGAGGUGAGCUCCGAAUGCAUCUCCGUAGUCAUGGCAUCCGCGAACUGUUGUAACUUUCCAAUCGGUGUGGCGCACUGCUCCUUGAGCUCCCUCACUAUUGCCACUGCCCUCACCCACCACCCCUUACUCUGCAUUCAGUGCCGCACCACCACCUCAGCCACCGCGCAUGCCAUCGCCGUCCCCACCGCCGCCUUUCCCAUCUCCUCUGACUAGGGGGAAAAUAAAAAUUGUAUACUAUACUUUGUACUUGAAAUAAUUGCUACUCUUAUUAUUAUGGUGUGACUUUUUACUUCCAAAUCUUAUGUAAUUUCAUUUUAUUUGAUAUUUGAAA